UUGCUUCGGCAGCAAAUAUACUAAAAUUGGAAUGAUACAGAGAAGAUUAGAUAACAUCUUUCAUGCUCAAGAGUGCUUCACAGAGUCUCAGAAAGAAGAGCCGAGUAUAU